rnacentral:rRNA from 1 species
ACGCUAGCUACAGGCUUAACACAUGCAAGUCGAGGGGCAGCAUGGUCUUAGCUUGCUAAGGCUGAUGGCGACCGGCGCACGGGUGAGUAACACGUAUCCAACCUGCCGUCUACUCUUGGCCAGCCUUCUGAAAGGAAGAUUAAUCCAGGAUGGCAUCAUGAGUUCACAUGUCCGCAUGAUUAAAGGUAUUUUCCGGUAGACGAUGGGGAUGCGUUCCAUUAGAUAGUAGGCGGGGUAACGGCCCACCUAGUCAACGAUGGAUAGGGGUUCUGAGAGGAAGGUCCCCCACAUUGGAACUGAGACACGGUCCAAACUCCUACGGGAGGCAGCAGUGAGGAAUAUUGGUCAAUGGGCGAUGGCCUGAACCAGCCAAGUAGCGUGAAGGAUGACUGCCCUAUGGGUUGUAAACUUCUUUUAUAAAGGAAUAAAGUCGGGUAUGCAUACCCGUUUGCAUGUACUUUAUGAAUAAGGAUCGGCUAACUCCGUGCCAGCAGCCGCGGUAAUACGGAGGAUCCGAGCGUUAUCCGGAUUUAUUGGGUUUAAAGGGAGCGUAGAUGGAUGUUUAAGUCAGUUGUGAAAGUUUGCGGCUCAACCGUAAAAUUGCAGUUGAUACUGGAUGUCUUGAGUGCAGUUGAGGCAGGCGGAAUUCGUGGUGUAGCGGUGAAAUGCUUAGAUAUCACGAAGAACUCCGAUUGCGAAGGCAGCCUGCUAAGCUGCAACUGACAUUGAGGCUCGAAAGUGUGGGUAUCAAACAGGAUUAGAUACCCUGGUAGUCCACACGGUAAACGAUGAAUACUCGCUGUUUGCGAUAUACGGCAAGCGGCCAAGCGAAAGCGUUAAGUAUUCCACCUGGGGAGUACGCCGGCAACGGUGAAACUCAAAGGAAUUGACGGGGGCCCGCACAAGCGGAGGAACAUGUGGUUUAAUUCGAUGAUACGCGAGGAACCUUACCCGGGCUUAAAUUGCACUCGAAUGAUCCGGAAACGGUUCAGCUAGCAAUAGCGAGUGUGAAGGUGCUGCAUGGUUGUCGUCAGCUCGUGCCGUGAGGUGUCGGCUUAAGUGCCAUAACGAGCGCAACCCUUGUUGUCAGUUACUAACAGGUGAUGCUGAGGACUCUGACAAGACUGCCAUCGUAAGAUGUGAGGAAGGUGGGGAUG